UGCCAGCCGCCGCGGUAAUACGGAGGGUGUAAACGUUGCUCGGAAUCAUUGGGCGUAAAGCGCGCGUAGGCGGUCCGUUAAGUUGGAUGUGAAAGCCCGGGGCUCAACCCCGGAAGUGCAUCCAAAACUGGCGGACUAGAAUCUCGGAGGGGGUCGGAGAAUUCCCGGUGUAGAGGUGAAAUUCGUAGAUAUCGGGAGGAAUACCAGUGGCGAAGGCGGCUUUCUGGACCAAUACUGACGCUGAGAUGCGAAAGCGUGGGGAGCGAGCAGGAUUAGAUA
rnacentral:rRNA from 1 species